UGUGAAACAGAAAGCAAGGGUCAUGGCCAGCAUGCUCUGAGUUACGACGUGUUGAUGGAUCUUCGUGUUAAGGCCGGCGAAUGGAAACGUGAAAUUAGAUUCAUAAACUCUUCCGACCCCGGUCUUGAAGGAAAUCAUUUCGUCCGCAGCCUGAGCGCUGGGGAGACGGCUUGCUUGCAGUUGAAGACACGCCUGCUGCAAGUGCUCUGCAUUAAAGAGAAGAGUGGUGAUUUAUGUGGAUCUGAAACAAAGACUUGGGCUGCACUUGAAAAUAAGGGUUCCAUGUGAAUUUUCAGCGUGGGUGUUUGCUUUCCUAAAAGAACCUUCGUGAUUGUCCUAGAAGUCCCCAACAUGCCCCUUUUCAAUGAUGGGCACAGACAGUACAUAUAUGUUUAUAGAUUCCAUUUGAAAAACAAAAUACUUACUUAGUUGCCAGGAAAAUUUAAACUAUUUUUUUAUAAAAUAAGCAUUCCAUUUUAGCAUAUGAAGAAAUUACUAAUUUUGUAAAGAGGAAAAAUGUUUUAGUUGGUUUAAUUACUGAAAUACACCACAAUAUAGAAAGUACAAA